rnacentral:rRNA from 1 species
GACGAACGCUGGCGGCGUGCCUAAUACAUGCAAGUAGAACGCACAGUUUAUACCGUAGCUUGCUACACCAUAAACUGUGAGUUGCGAACGGGUGAGUAACGCGUAGGUAACCUGCCUGGUAGCGGGGGAUAACUAUUGGAAACGAUAGCUAAUACCGCAUAAUAUUGAUUAUUGCAUGAUAAUUGAUUGAAAGAUGCUAUUGCAUCACUACCAGAUGGACCUGCGUUGUAUUAGCUAGUAGGUGAGGUAACGGCUCACCUAGGCGACGAUACACAGCCGACCUGAGAGGGUGAUCGGCCACACUGGGACUGAGACACGGCCCAGACUCCUACGGGAGGCAGCAGUAGGGAAUCUUCGGCAAUGGACGAAAGUCUGACCGAGCAACGCCGCGUGAGUGAAGAAGGUUUUCGGAUCGUAAAGCUCUGUUGUAAGAGAAGAACGGGUGUGAGAGUGGAAAGUUCACACUGUGACGGUAUCUUACCAGAAAGGGACGGCUAACUACGU